UGGGGAAUCUUAGACAAUGGGCGCAAGCCUGAUCUAGCGAUGCCGCGUGAGUGACGAAGGUCUUAGGAUCGUAAAGCUCUUUCGCCAGGGAUGAUAAUGACAGUACCUGGUAAAGAAACCCCGGCUAACUCCGUGCCAGCAGCCGCGGUAAUACGGAGGGGGUUAGCGUUGUUCGGAAUUACUGGGCGUAAAGCGCACGUAGGCGGACUAUUAAGUCAGAGGUGAAAUCCCGGGGCUCAACCCCGGAACUGCCUUUGAUACUGGUAGUCUUGAGUUCGAGAGAGGUGAGUGGAAUUCCGAGUGUAGAGGUGAAAUUCGUAGAUAUUCGGAGGAACACCAGUGGCGAAGGCGGCUCACUGGCUCGAUACUGACGCUGAGGUGCGAAAGUGUGGGGAGCAAACAGGAUUAGAUACCCCCGUAGUCC
rnacentral:rRNA from 1 species